rnacentral:rRNA from 1 species
GUGAGUCAUCGAAUCUUUGAACGCACCUUGCGCCCUUUGGUAUUCCGAAGGGCAUGCCUGUUUGAGUGUCAUGAAAACAAUCAACCACGACUUGGUUUACUCCUCGUCGUGGCUUGGACUUGGGUGUUUGCUGCUGCAAAGCUGCUCGCCUUAAAAGGAUUAGCUGGACUAUAUUUUGCGGUCAGGUUUGACUCGGCGUGAUAAGUUAUUUCGCUGAGGACAUCUGUAAUGGAUGGCCUGUUUGCUCUAUGCCGGUCUGCUUUCUAACCCGUUCUCCCUCUGGAGACAAACCCUUUUAUGAUUGGCCUCAAAUCAGGUAGGACUACCCGCUGAACUUAA